GACGAACGCUGGCGGCGUGCCUAAUACAUGCAAGUCGAACGCAGUGGGGACGGGUGAGUAAAACGUGGGUAACCUCCCAUCAGAGGGGAUAACACUUGGAAACAGGUGCUAAACCGCUACUGAUGUAUGGACCCGCGGUGCAUUAGCUAGUUGGUGAGGUAACGGCACACCAAGUCCACGAUGCAUAGUCGCACGGCGAGGAUGACAGGCUACACUGGGACUGAUACAGGGCCCAGACUCCUACGGGAGGCAGCAGUAGUGAAUAUUCGGCAAUGGACGAAAGUAUGACCGAGCAACGCCGCGUGAGUGAAGAAGGUUUUCGGAUCGUAAAACUCUGUUGUGAGAGAAGCGGUAUCUAACCAGAAAGCCACGGCUAACUACGUGCCAGCAGCCGCGGUAAUUC
rnacentral:rRNA from 1 species